ACGAACCGUCCAAACGUUAUUCGGUAUCACUGGGCUUAAAGAGUUCGUAGGCGGCCAAAUAGGUCAGGUGUGAAAUCCCACAGCUCAACUGUGGAACUGCGCUUGAAACCACUUGGCUUGAGGGAGAUAGAGGUGAGCGGAACAGAUGGUGGAGCGGUGAAAUGCGUUGAUAUCAUCUGGAACACCGGUGGCGAAAGCGGCUCACUGGAUCUUUUCUGACGCUGAGGAACGAAAGCUAGGGUAGCGAACGGG
rnacentral:rRNA from 1 species